UCUCUCUCUCUACAUAUAUAUCCUUUAUGUAUAUAAAAGUUGUGAGUAUAAAACAAUUUUGAAUUUAUUUAAUUGGGUUAUUAAUAGUUAAGAUGUAUUUUGUUUAUAAUCACAUAUGUAUGGACUUCGCUGAAUUAAGUUUUGUGGUGAAUGCAUGUUGAUUGUCAAUCAUGCAACUAUAACCAUGUAUGCAAUUUAAUGCAUGUUGAACAAUUGAUCAACAUUUGGCCCAAUCAUCUCCUUGGGUGUGUGAGUAAGGAGAUUCAAUAGGCAUUUAUCAAUGAUUCAUACUUGUAGACAUGUGAAGUAGAAGCACUUUCAUUUAUAGUUACUCUUUGAAGACAUUUGGAAAAUUAAUCGAAUUGGCCACCCAUCAACCAGAGCUCGUUCGGGUUUUACCUUCCAACUAUACAUACAUCAUUUGAGAGAUAAAAGAGAAUGGAAUCAACAUCACAGUGUAAUAAAAAACGUCCGCAUAGCGCGUUCUACUGAGAGAACAGUUCUUCGAUCAUCUACAAAUCACUUUUGUAGGUCAACGAUCGUUGUGCCAGCUGCUGCAUUGUUGUUCUUCAAUCUUAAAUGCUACUUCCAGAGUAUGUGCAGCUCAGCAAUGGCUGUGUCAGUAGUUUUUGAAUUUGCGCUUGUUACUGGGCUUGAACAUUAUAAGUGCAUGGUGAAUCUACGAGGCCGAUUGUGAGUUAGAGAAAGAUAUGGAGGUCGUAAAACAAUUGUGUGAUAGUGAUUUGCACGUGCCAAUUUCAGGUUACUAAUUAUUACACGAGCGUUACUGGUUGCCACAUGAAAUUGGUUGCCCCAAUUCCUGCUUAAUGUCAUCGACAUGGGAAGCAACAUGUUGAUAGUGUACGUCUACUUGGAGCAUUCUACAACUAUAACAUUCAUGCCAUAUUGAUUACAAUCCAUGACAUAAUGAAACACAAAAUUUAUCCUAAUGACAAUGUGAUUCAUGUCGAUAUCAUCAAGGGUACCUAAUUUGUCAAUCAAGCAAAUUCAAAAGGAUUCCCAAAA